UCCUCGGUAGUAUAGUGGUGAGUAUCCCCGCCUGUCACGCGGGAGACCAGGGUUCCAUUCCCCGCCGGGGAG
rfam:Daphnia pulex DAPPTscaffold_441_Cont9566, whole genome shotgun sequence.